rnacentral:lncRNA from 10 species
GCCACCCACCCUCACCCGGGGCGCGGGAGUUGACGCCAGGGCGGGCGUGCCACGGCCUCCAGCGGGGCUACGUCAGGCGUAAGCCACUCCCGGGCCAGCGCGGCGCCCAACCUCUCUCUGCGUCCCACGCGGGAGCCGGGAGGGCUGCGGGAAGGAACCGCGCUGGAAAGUGCGAAACCUCGCGAGGGAAAGCUGCGUGGGGAACGGGGUCGGCCCUCGCCGGGGCUCCAGUCCGGACCGAGACUCUGUUGCAGCGCCUCCCACGCACCACAGAACUGAGUUGGGGAAAGUAAAAAGGAUACGUGUGUACCCAGGGAGAAGCCAGGGAAACUUACAUGAACGUUUUUAAAGUCUCUUUUAAAUUUGACAGAACAAACGUGAAGAUGCACCUGGCAGAACAGGCUUUCAAUGGAGGAUGGCAGAAGCAGACAAGAAGAGGCGAAUCUUUCGUAUACCAUAAGAGAGUGCCUCUGCAUGCACAGAAUCACCUGGGGAGCUUGCUGAGAUGCAGAUUCUGACUCGGGGGUCUAGGUGGAGCCUGAGUCUGCACCAUUUCACACUCCUAGGGGAUGCCGCUGCUGCCAGCAGAGAGCCCACACUUCAGGACACAGGAUCCAGCUUUGACACUGAGUUCCUAACUGCAGAAGCACCACCACCCCACAGCCAAGUGUGUGGCUCGGAAGCAAGAUGCUCUGGGUUUCCAUCACCUCUGCCACCUUACUUCACUUCUCAGGCCUCCUCCCACAUCUCAUACGGAAAACUAGGUAAAAUCAUGCUCACCACCCAAAACUAUAAGGAUUUGUUUUCAUGGAAAUAAUUUGAAUAGUGCCUAGCACACAAGUAUUCAACAAGUGUCAGCAGGAGUCCAAUUGCUUGAUACAAUUAUUUCCCAGCCUCAAGGAAAACUUAACUUAAUUGGAGAAGUAGGACCAUAUUUUGUGCUUCGCUUUUCCCCACAACACAAGGCCCAAGGCUGCUCACAUUAAAACGCUCAACAAUUGGGAAGUAAGAGUAACUAAGGACAGGACAGAGGGGGUGUCUAUAAGGCAAAGGCUUGAGGGUAAGAAAAAACUGCAGAAGAAACAGGAAAGAAACUGCAAAGGUUUUCCUGACGAAGCUACCUACCCACCUCACACAGCGCCAGCCCUACAAGGAUUCCCUCCAUGUUGUUUCUGUAACAAGACAAUCCCAUACCUUAUAGCAGGAGGCCUCAACCCCUGGACUGUGGAUCAGUACUGGUCCAUGGCCUGUUAGGAAUCAGGCCACACAGCAGGUUAGCUCUGCCUCCUGUCAGAUCAGCGGCGGCAUUAGAUUCUCAUAGAAUGAACCCUAUUGUGAACUGCGCUCGCGAGGGAUCUAGGUUGUGCGCUCCUUAUGAGAAUCUAACGCCUGAUGAUCUGAGGUGGAACAGUUUCAUUCCAAAACCAUCCCGUCCCCCACCACUGUCUGUGGAAAACCUGUCUUCCACGAAACCAGUCCUGGUGCCAAAAAGGUUGGGGACCCCUGCCUUACAGCAAGCCAAGUUUCCUUCUACUUAUUUGCUCGCUCUCCCCGUGGAAAACUGUAAUGUCUUUUAACGGGUCUCCUUUGGUCCCAAGUGUUCUUACAAAAUGUUUUGUGUACAUGCAUUUUUAAUUUAUAUAAAUGGUGUUACAUUAUAGAUCUCAAUUUCUUACCUUUUCCCCUCGGCAUUGUGUUUAAGAUGGAUCCAGAUGGCUACGCAUAUAUCUAAGCCAAUGCUCGUAACAGCUACCUGGCACUCCCUGGGGUACCCACAUUUCACCUACUCUUUCUACCUCCCAAUAGCCAUCACCCAGACUGUCUCCAGCUCUCCACCAUCAUAAGUACAGUCCCCUGAAAAUUUUCACCCAUGCCACAUCUUGUCUUCUGUCCUAGGUUUAAGUAAAAGUGCAGGUUAGGCUGUGCCAUCAGUCCUUCCCUGUCAUCACUCCAGGUCAGGUGCCUCUCCUCCACCUUGGCCCCAGGAGAGUGUUCUUGACAAACGGAGAAAAACAUCCAGUAUGAACUUUUUUUUUUUCUUUUGCUAGUAGCAAGUUUUAUUCUAAGCAACCGCAAAUCAUCCAAGGGGAUGUUCACAUAUGACCCCAGAGCCCACU